UACGUAGGGUGCAAGCGUUGUCCGGAAUUAUUGGGCGUAAAGAGCUCGUAGGCGGUCUGUCGCGUCGGAUGUGAAAAUCCAGGGCUCAACCCUGGACCUGCAUUCGAUACGGGCAGACUAGAGUUCGGUAGGGGAGACUGGAAUUCCUGGUGUAGCGGUGAAAUGCGCAGAUAUCAGGAGGAACACCCGUGGCGAAAGCGGCUCUCUGGGACGGUACUGACGCUGAGACGCGAAAGCGUGGGGAGCGAACAGG
rnacentral:rRNA from 1 species